CGGCGCCAUGUUACAGUGAAUUCAGUCCCGGUGGAUCUCUGAAGAUGGCGGCAGCUGCGGCCAUAGGAGGAAGGCCAAAUUAUUACGGGAACGAAGGUGGCCGGGCCCCGAAGAGACAGAAGACUGACGGAGUUGAGGACAACGUGGCGGCUACAGCGGAAGGAUACGAUGACCCUCACAAGACCGCGGCCUCUCCGGUGGUCCAUGUGAGGGGGCUUAUUGACGGGGUUGUGGAGACAGAUCUUGCAGAAGCUUUGCAGGAAUUUGGAGCAAUCAGUUAUGUCGUGGUAAUGCCUAAGAAGAGACAGGCUCUUGUUGAAUUUGAGGAUAUUAAUGGUGCAUGCAACGCUGUGAACUAUGCAGCAGACAACCAAAUCUAUGUUGCAGGGCAUCCAGCGUUUGUAAACUAUUCAACUAGCCAAAAGAUCUCCCGUCCCACAGAUACAGCCGAUGAUUCCCGGGGGGUUAAUAAUGUUUUGCUCUUAACUAUUCUGAAUCCAAUCUAUUCCAUAACUACGGAUGUGCUGUAUACCAUCUGUAAUCCUUGUGGACCUGUCGAGAGGAUUGUUAUUUUCAGAAAGAAUGGAGUCCAGGCCAUGGUGGAAUUUGACUCUGUGCAAAGUGCUCAGCGUGCCAAGGCUUCUCUCAAUGGGGCUGACAUUUACUCUGGAUGUUGUACACUAAAGAUUGAAUAUGCCAAGCCUUCUCGACUGAAUGUCUUCAAAAAUGACCAGGACACAUGGGAUUACACAAAUCCUGGCUUGAGUGGACAAGGUGAUGCUGCGGGUAACCCAAACAAGAGGCAGAGGAACCCACCACUGUUGGGAGACCAUCCUGCGGAGUACGGAGGUCCUCAUGCAGGUUAUCAUGGGCACUACCAUGAGGAGGCAUAUGGCCCCCCGCCCCCACACUAUGAAAGUCGUAGAAUGGGCCCCCCUCCUGUUGGUGCUCCUCGGAGGGGCCCAUCCCGUUAUGCUCCACAAUAUGGGCAUCCUCCACCUCCACCACCAGAAUAUGCCCCACAUGCCGACAGUCCAGUACUGAUGGUAUAUGGUUUAGACCCCUCAAAGUUGAACUGUGAUCGAGUCUUUAAUAUCUUCUGCCUGUAUGGUAAUUUGGAAAAGGUUAAAUUCAUGAAGAGUAAACCUGGAGCGGCUAUGGUGGAGAUGGCUGAUGGAUAUGCUGUUGACCGUGCCGUUACACACCUAAACAACAAUUUUAUGUUUGGUCAAAAACUAAGUGUUUGUGUUUCAAAGCAACAGUCUAUUGUGCCUGGACAGUCCUAUGGCUUGGAAGAUGGUUCCUGCAGUUUUAAAGUCUUCAGUGGGUCCCGUAACAACAGAUUUACAUCCGCAGAGCAGGCUGCAAAGAACAGAAUCCAACAGCCCAGCAGUGUGCUUCACUUCUUCAAUGCCCCCCCUGAUGUGACAGAGGAUAACUUUAUUGAGAUGUGUGAUGAACUGGGUGUUAAGAAGCCAGCCUCAAUCAAAAUUUUCUCUGGAAAAAGUGAGAGAAGCUCUUCUGGACUUCUGGAGUGGGAUUCUAAGAGUGAAGCACUGGAGACUCUUGGCUUCAUGAAUCAUUACCAGAUGAAAAAUCCAAGUGAGUAGAGCACAACAUGCUAAACGUCAUCAAGCCACACACACAUACACAAGUGAUCGGCAAUAAUCAUCAUUCUAAUGUAACUAUAGCUAUUCAAAGUACAUUGGUGCUUGAGAAACCAAUCAAAUGUUCUAAUUUAUAAUAAGCCUUGCAUAGAUUGAUUUGAUUUCUAAUCCACAAAAGUAGGCUCGAAAGGCUUGCUUAUUUUGUUUUGAGAUUUACUUAAACUGCAUGUUCUAUCUGUGAAGCUGUGGUAGUGUUCUGCAGUUCUGGUCUGCAAAGGCCCUUAUGUCUUAAAUGAGGCAAGAGCUGAGCAGUUUGACUUUCCAUGUAGCCUUAUCGGUGUUUGAUGUUGAGUAAUCUAGGAGCUCUACCAGCAUAUGGCUAGUUUUGGUUCAUAGGCUUUUAAUACUUACUGUGUAUUUUACGUGUUAAAAGUUGUUGAUAUUAUAAUUCAUAGUUCAGCUUGCUAAAGCACCUUAUGUAAAGGUUUUAGGCAUGUGCUACCUUCUACACAACCUCAUCCAGUAGUGCCAGAACUGUCUUAGAUUUCUAAAGUGGAGGAAUAAAAAAUAGCUCUCUUCUAUUGUUAGAAAGCUUGAGACCUUCAUUUUUUAAGAAACAUAUCAAAUCAUAUGUUGGUUAAAAAAAAAAAAAAAAACCUUGUCUAAUCUUUUUUUUUUUUCUUGCAGAUGGUCCUUACCCAUACACUCUAAAACUGUGCUUCUCCACUGCUCAGCAUGCCUCCUAACGACCUAC